rnacentral:rRNA from 1 species
GACGAACGCUGGCGGCGUGCUUAACACAUGCAAGUCGAGCGGAGCGGCGAACGGGUGAGUAACGCGUGAGUAACUGCCCCCCUCUCUGGGAUAACAGUUGGAAACGGCUGCUAAUACCGGAUAGUGGGGGAUGACUCGCGUCCUAUCAGCUUGUUGGUGGGGUAGUGGCCUACCAAGGCGACGACGGGUAGCCGGCCUGAGAGGGCGACCGGCCACAUGGGGCGGGGAUCCGGCCCAAACGCCUCCGGGAGGAAGCGGUGGGGAAUAUUGCCCAAGGGGGGAACCCUGAUGCAGCAACGCCGCGUGCGGGAUGACGGCCUUCGGGUUGUAAACCGCUUUCAGCCAUGACGCGGUAAUCAACCAGAAAGUCACGGCUAACUACGUGCCAGCAGCCGCGGUAAUUC